UCUCCGUAGGUGAACCUGCGGAGGGAUCACUACAGGCUUGUAAAAGCUCUGAAACCACUGUUUAUCUACCUGAAUCUGCUUCGGCGGGCGGCCCCAGGGCGGGGCCGUAGCCGCAAGGCGCCCGCCGAAGAACCCUAAACCCUGUCGUCUUGAGAAUCUCUGAGUGAUUAUAUUAAACAAAAACAACUUUCAACAACGGAUCUCUUGGCUCUG
rnacentral:misc_RNA from 1 species